CAGUAGCCGCGGUAAUACGAAGGGUGCAAGCGUUACUCGGAAUUACUGAGCGUAAAGCGUGCGUAGGUGGUGGUUUAAGUCCGUUGUGAAAGCCCUGGGCUCAACCUGGGAAUUGCAGUGGAUACUGGGUCACUAGAGUGUGGUAGAGGAUAGUGGAAUUUCCGGUGUAGCAGUGAAAUGCGUAGAGAUCGGAAGGAACAUCUGUGGCGAAGGCGACUAUCUGGGCCAACACUGACACUGAGGCACGAAAGCGUGGGGAGCAAACAGGAUUAGAUACCCCAGUAGUCCCUGUCUCUUAUAC
rnacentral:rRNA from 1 species